rnacentral:rRNA from 1 species
UACGGAGGUGGCAAGCGUUGUUCGGAAUCACUGGGCGUAAAGGGCGCGUAGGCGGGGAGGCAAGUCGGGUGUGAAAGCCCUCGGCUCAACCGAGGAAUGGCGCCCGAAACUGCUUCUCUUGAGUCCCGGAGAGGAAGGUGGAAUUCCCGGUGUAGCGGUGAAAUGUGUAGAUAUCGGGAGGAACACCGGUGGCGAAGGCGGCCUUCUGGACGGUGACUGACGCUGAGGCGCGAAAGCGUGGGGAGCGAACAGG